GUGUGUUAGUUACUACUGUAGACAUAUGAAUGAUUUUCUAAUUGGAAUAAUUUCUAAUUAAUUGAAAUAAAGUGUAUUCCUUUUUUAGAUAAACUAUAUUAGUGUUUUUCUUCAUACACUAGGCAAGAAAUAUAUUUCAAAGACAUUUUAUAACAAUUGUGCCACAGUCCUGAUACUGUAUUAGGGCUAUAGAAUAACCACAGAAUGCACUAGUGGGGGGCAGAUUAAUUAUUAUUUGGGCAUCAGGUUAGCAUGAUAUGAAUGAAACAAAAAAGGUAUUUUAGAUUGUAUCGAAUGCAAAUAUAAAGAAUAUAUUAGAAUGGUGGAUUAUAUUUUCUCUUUGCGGAAUAGAUCAGAAAACAAAUUAGUAGAGCCAGUAAACUAUAUCAGACAAAUAAAUUACAUUCACUAUUUAAAUUUACCCUGAUGUGUGAUUCAAAGGAAAUCGCUUCAUUCAAGUGAGAAUGAAAGGUGACAAAUUAAACACUGAUCUUCUGAUAAAAUUGUAUACUGACAACUGUAUCUAGUUUCCACCCUAAUAAAGCUCACUUUGUGUGAAAUAUAGCUUUAGAUGAAACUGAAAGUUACAUCCAACUUGACUUAUUGAUGGGUAAAUGUAGGAACCAAGUGUAUGCUUAGAAUGACUUUAUAAUUGUAUUGUGAAUAUGUCAAUAAAAAAGUUCAAGAUCAGUAUGAGUACUAAUUCAUCCAAAAUCAGUAUUAUCAUAAUAAAAAGCAAAUAUCAGAGCUUGCAUAUUUAACAUUGAAAAGUCCUAAAUUAGUACGUAUGACCUAGUAAUUGUUGCAUAAAUCUUCAGUUCCAGAUGGCAUAACAGAAAAUCCAUGUGUUAUCCUGUAUGGCAUUGUAGGUUUGGAAGCUGGUAUUAUCAUUCUGCUUGUGGCUGUGAUAGUUAAAUAUCUUCUUAAAGGUUUGACUGAUACUAAAUGUAAGGAAAGAGAGAAGAAAGAUGAACCAAUAAUUCAUUAUGCUGAGAUCUGUAGCGGAAACCUAUCUUCACACCCACGGAUAAGGAAGGAGGAAAAUAUCACCUAUGCAUCUGUUAUGGUGCACAAAUAAUAAUAAACAUCUGUAAACAUUUACUCAAAUUUCCCCAAAAAAAAUGUCCCAAAAACUUGAAUGCCAGGAAGGCAAUUAACAUAUUGAAAUGGUUCAACAGACCUCUGCCAUUGACUUGUACUGUAAAUGAACUCAGCAGGUUUUAGGUGGCAAAUAUUCUAAUUAGAAAUGUUUCCAUUCCCUGGGUUGUCUUACUUCUUCAAUGGAUACCUAAUAUUAAGGGGCAGAUUUACAUAGGGUCGAAUAUCGAGGGUUAAU